rnacentral:rRNA from 1 species
GACGAACGCUGGCGGCGUGCUUAACACAUGCAAGUCGAACGGAAAGGCCCUGCUUUUGUGGGGUGCUCGAGUGGCGAACGGGUGAGUAACACGUGAGUAACCUGCCCUUGACUUUGGGAUAACUUCAGGAAACUGGGGCUAAUACCGGGUAGGAGCUCCUGCUGCAUGGUGGGGGUUGGAAAGUUUCGGCGGUUGGGGAUGGACUCGCGGCUUAUCAGCUUGUUGGUGGGGUAGUGGCUUACCAAGGCUUUGACGGGUAGCCGGCCUGAGAGGGUGACCGGCCACAUUGGGACUGAGAUACGGCCCAGACUCCAACGGGAGGCAGCAGUGGGGAAUAUUGCACAAUGGGCGGAAGCCUGAUGCAGCAACGCCGCGUGCGGGAUGACGGCCUUCGGGUUGUAAACCGCUUUCGCCUGUGACGAAGCGUGAGUGACGGUAAUGGGUAAAGAAGCACCGGCUAACUACGUG